UACGUAGGGGGCUAGCGUUGUUCGGAAUUACUGGGCGUAAAGCGUGCGCAGGCGGCUUCUCAAGUCAGGGGUGAAAGCCCAGAGCUCAACUCUGGAAUUGCCUUUGAGACUGAGUGGCUUGAGUACGAGAGAGGUGAGUGGAAUUCCCAGUGUAGAGGUGAAAUUCGUAGAUAUUCGGAAGAACACCAGUGGCGAAGGCGACUCACUGGACACAUAUUGACGCUGAGGUGCGAAAGCGUGGGGAGCAAACAGGG
rnacentral:rRNA from 1 species